UUCUUCUUUUCUCUUUCAUCAUUUCAUUUCUUUUUUCUCUUUCUAUCCACUCUCUACUUAUAUUUUUUCUUAUCUGAAAACAGAUACACCAGCACAUAAUUAUUAAAAUCUUAGUGGAAUUGCUCAACUCUCAAAUACUAGAACUGUGGGGGAUUGUUCAUUUGCUUAGUCUUUUGGAGUUGACCUAUCUUGACUUGGGAAUGAAGAGUCAAUGUGAUGAGAAAAUGUUCAAUUUUGUCUUUUGUAAGACAAGAACAGUCUCUACAAAAAUAGUAAUUACUUUGGGAGUUCGUCUUAACCCUUGAUGCUCACCCUUCAGUUAUCAACCCGAGUAUGCCCAGGCACCCAGACCAAGCCCAUGCCUUUACGUGAAGUUUUGUUAAAAUUUUGGCUUGCACUUUAGUUAAUUUCCUUAGGUUAAAAUGUAUGUAUAUGACCCAUUUCCUUACCAAUGUCCGGCUUUUCGCUCAAUAUUGUGUAUGGGUAUGUAUAUAAAUAAACGGCUCUCACGUAUGUGAUCCUGGCAUGUUAGUUUUAGCUCAAUGGAUAUUAUUCUAUGUUACUUUGUAAUAUUAAAUGUUUCCGUUUAG